CAUGCGCGUGUCUUCCAAAAUGUCUUCCAAGACCGUGAUUCAGAUGGGGAAUUAAAUAUAAGGUUCUUCUUCUUCCAUGUGAUAAAAUCAUGUCUGCAAUGAGACCUCAAAGAAAGAAUUUCAAGAACUUGAGGCGAUAAGUGGGACGGACUUGUUUCUAAAACGGGAUGAAGAAGUGUUUCCAGGCACCCAGAAAAAAGGAAGAUGUGUGCAUACACAUUCCCACAUCGAACAGGGGGAUAUUUUUCUGAAAUAUGAAGGGAUGUUAACAAGGAAGGAGCCGAUUGGAAAUGACACAUAUGUGUUUGAAUUCCGAUUCAAGGGGGAAAAAGUGUUGGUUUGAUGGAACUACAGAAGAUGGCAGUUUUGGAAGGCUUGUAAAUGACUCCACCCACUGCAUUUGCAAAGUGCAGUGCUUUGAGGAGGAGGGUCUAUCAAGCUUAUAUCUCAUUGCCCUCCGUGACAUUCUGCCACUGGUCAGAUGCUACAGUUGACUGUGCCAGCGUCAUCUCUCGUGCAGAGAAGAAGUUGUGUAUAAUUAUGGUGCAGAACCAUAUCCAUGGGGGCAAAAGUUCUUGAUGACUGCAGUGUCCAUGACUAAGAUGUUGAACUAGAUGGCCUACAUCCAGAACUGACUACAUGGACCAAGGACGAGUUUGCCAUAUGCAGUGAUGUUGGAACUUGGGACAAGUAGUUUGAAUACAUUGCCCAGCACAGGCAGUCUGAAAUGCUGGAAUAAGACAUAUGGGGGUGCAAAACAGCAUGAAGCAAGAGGCCAGAUCAUCAGAGAUGUGAUUGAGAGUCAUGAUGUAGCUGCUGUCAAAGAUUGGGCUCGGAUCUGACAAGCAGCCAAUAGUUUGCCUUUUAAAGAGUGCGGCAUAUCAUUCCCACAAGGUACAUUUUAUAACAAAAUGAAUAAAUACUUGUUAUAUACAUGUGUCACCAUUAUUCAAUCGAGCUGUUCAUAAUGUUAUUACAUUUUAAUAAGAGUGAACUGCAACCUCAGUUUUAUUGUACUUUCAUUUAUAUGGAACAUGUGUUUGUAAAUGUUUUUAAUGUUUCUUAUGAUUCAAGACAAAUAGUGUAAGCAUUUUUUUGUUUGUUUUGAUAAUACUAUGUGUAAUUAGUUAAAUAUUUUAGAAAAAUAUGUACAGUACUAUAUGAUUGAAUGCAUAUACUUCACUUUCCUUAUUUUAUCCGAAGAAGAACUUCAAUGUUGAGUUUGUAAAUAUGUUUUAACAUGUUUGGUAUUCAUAUUAGUUGUUGCUAUUUUAUAUGUGUUCUGUUCUUGUAGUUAGUUCAUGUACUGUAAUAAGGUAUUGAUAAGAAAAGUUCAUUGGUUUGGUUUAAAAAUGUAUUAAGCAUUUAGAUGAUUAAUUACUAUUAUGUUUAUCUGUCAUAGACUUUAUAACUGGCAAUUUGUUUUAGAAAAAUAAUGUUGGAUUAAUUGUGGCUUCAAGGCACAGAAGACAUCCCAGAUACAGAUGAUUCCUUGAGCUCCAACAUCACAUGAAAUUAUUUCAUUUUUGAUUGGUAAAUGUUUGGACACUAACAACUUUAUCAGGAUUUAAGAUCAAAUAAGCAAGCAUAGAUAUACACAUAUAUAUCCAGUUCAAACUGUGUUUGAUUUCAGUUAUUAGUGCUAUGUUCAUAUUGUAUAAACCAUUAACUUCAACAAUUACAGAAGACGUGCAUUGCCCCAUCUUCUUUGUCCAGCCACCUGGCCUGACUUGUAACAGGUAUGGGGAUUCCCUGCUGGAGUAGUUGUGUGCUAACUUCUCGGGUUCAACCACCAAUGAUGGAUUUCCCAAGGCUACAGCUACAUACUGAAGAUGAUAGUCAACAGUCAGCUUGUGAUGUAAGAAACGGGCAUUCAGCCGACGAAUAUAAACCAGCACAUCUUUACUGCUUGCUAGGUAUAUAGUGACGAGUACAUGCAACUGUUUAGUUGUUGAAACUUUUUAAUUGAUUUCCCUUGUGUCAUCAGUAACAGCAUUUAGCCAAUGUAAAUUUUGAUGUAUUCUUAAUUAAGUUAUCAUGGAACCUUUAAAUAGAAUAAUGUAAGUGUUAAUAUCUGUAACAUUAUUGUUAAUUUUAUUAUUAAGCUAAAUAAUUUUUGUGUACAUUAUUCUUUCUUGAAGAAAUUUGUGAUAAAAUGAUUUCGCUUUCCAAGCACGUGUUCUUUGUACACAUGUUCACGUAUUUGACUUUAUCUGUUUGUUGUAUCUGUUUGUUGUACAUUGUUAUACUAGUUGGAAACUGUGUAGCGCUAUGAUUGUAGCAAUUUUAUUGAUAAUUUGAUAGAAAAUGACUGUUCCACAAUACUAUUUAGUGUCUGUUCAUGUCAAUCUAGUCAAUUAAAUUUUAUAGUGUUGUGUUUAAAUUAUUGGAGAUUAUUUAAUGCAUGUUAUAUCAAUUAAAAAGUGAUAUUUCUUACAGUACAAGUUAUCCAACUAUUAUUCUCGUUAAGUGUUACAACUCUUAUUGUAUAUGAAUAUUGAAAAGUCAUAUAGAUCUAAAUAUAUUUUAUGCUGCACAAACUUUGUGUCAUGUUGAGUUAUUUCUGUUACUAUCCUAGUAUAAGAAACAUACAAUUGUAGUUCUCUAGAAUUGACAGUUAUUUAAAUAUUUGUUUUGUUUUAUUUGUUGCAGUUUCUUACUGCCUCAAUUGUACCAACACAUGUAAAUAAAUACAACAAAUUUGCAACACGCUGCUAGGUUAUCUGUUGUGAUUUGCAAUCCGGAACAAUAAUCAAUUAAAAUAAGAAAUGCAUUUAAUUGUUUCUUUAACAAAAAUGUGUAGUGAAAAAAGUUGCCUUGGAGAUGGGAAUCCACACGAGAUGCUGAUCCAGGGCAGCUCUAAAGGCGAGCCCCUAUGGUACAUGUCAUAAAUAAAGUGACAUCUGCCUUCAAAAGCAGAUGAAGAAUGAAUUUUGUUUAAAAGAGCUUUAAACAAGUAUUUACACAUUUAUGUAUCAAGACUUAUGGAAAUAGUUAAUGUAGAUGACAGAAAUAAUUGUAAGCAAUAUUGCUGUUACUGGAAAAAUCCUUAUAGUGUAAGCAAACACACCUUUCCAUAUGGAGAGGAAAUCCAGGGUCAUAUCCUGGUGGGGAUCCCAUAUCAGCAGCAACUCGCAUAAUGUACAUAUAAAUUAUACAAAGAAUAGUAUGUGUUGUCAGUGUAUGAUAUUUAAUAUUCAUAUUAAAAUAGAUAUUAAGUUUUUGAUGAUUUUCUCUAUCACACACACACAUAUGCAAUAUUUAUAUGUAUUUUUACUUUAUGUGAUUUAUCAUUAGUAUUAAGACACCAUCAUUAGUUCCACGCUACAAAAAAGGCUCAUCACUUUGUCCUGGCAAUUAAUUAUAAUUAAUACCCUUUUUUGCUUUAAAAAGAAAAGGGUUUGUUUUCAACAAUGUGCAUCUUUGUUCCUACUACAGAGUCUGAUAUUCAUAUCUUGAGUGUCUUAAUAUAAGGCAAAUACUGAAAAAAAAUGUGAUUUUCAUGAAGUAUUUUGUCAGUUUUCAUGUGCAGUGCUCUUGAAAAGUGCAGGGAGUCGACCUUGCUGGAACAGGUGCUCACUCCUCAGUCUGCUAGACGGGUAGCGCCCAAGUCACUGCCAGCGCUCAUGAAAAGGCAAGACGCCCUGGAGAUGGGAACCACUGACUCACAUGAUCAGUUCCCCAUCUUGAACAGCACUUAAGGCGACCACCUUAAAGCCUACUUUCUGGAAUACAUCAGUGUGCAGAGCGUAUACGUCAAGUUGAAGACUUGCAAUUCAUCUCAUGGACAGUGAUAAAACAUUUAAACAAAACUGUAUAAUUAUGACUGAAAAAUCUAAACAAAAAUAAAAUGUGUUGUUGCCUUAUGCCAGUGUUAUGGCACUAAAUUGCUUAUUUUCAAGGAUGAGGCUUUGUUGACUGCUUUAAUAAAUACAUAAUGUAAAAUUACCUGCUCAACUAUGAAAUUAUGUGAAUCAAAUAUUGUGUACAACUACUGCUGGCCUCAUUAAAGAAACACAAUUGAAGCUUCAUUACUAAAUGUGUGCACAAAAAUUAUGUCCCGAUUCUAAUCAGUGACUCCUUUGUGUAGCUUAUGUUUAACGACUGUUCAGUUUAGCUGCUGUUUUCACCAAGUAAGUUAGUUAGCAAAUACAGUCUACUUUUCUAAUCAUUUUGCUAUAUGUAGUAUAAAGUGACUGUUUAAAAUGAAUCAGAUAUCUUAGAUUAACAUUGUCUAUUUUUUUUUUAACUUAAAAUCUCUUGUCGUAAGGUAUAACUUC